GACGUAAACGGUGUAGGGGCAAGAACGCACUGUGAAACGCCAAUCGGACUGCACGUCGCGAAUGUUUGCAGAAACUUCGGGGGAACUUGAAGAGAAACAGGAUAAGAUUCCGAACGUGCGGUGAAGAGGAAUGGGGUGUAUGUCGCGACCUGCAUGGAAAACAGGAGUGUCGUGUCAUCUUCUCUAAGAAAAUACAAGAUGUGAGGUGGCCAACGAACGAAAGCUCCCUGUGGUCCGUGAGUGCAUAGCACAGUCAGGCAUAUGCUUUGUCUAGACACAGUGAGUGAUCAGACUUAUACUUAUACUACAUGGUAUGUAAAUGUAGAGAUGUAUUGAUUAUUUCUUUCUGCUCAGUGUAUGCUUUUAGCAGAAUAAACGGUAAUUACUUGAGCAA